rnacentral:rRNA from 1 species
GGGAAAGGGUGGAGGCCUACACAUGCAAGUCGAGCGGAUGAGAAGGAGCUUGCUCUUCGAUUCAGCGGCGGACGGGUGAGUAAUGCCUAGGAAUCUGCCUGGUAGUGGGGGACAACGUUUCGAAAGGAACGCUAAUACCGCAUACGUCCUACGGGAGAAAGCAGGGGACCUUCGGGCCUUGCGCUAUCAGAUGAGCCUAGGUCGGAUUAGCUAGUUGGUGGGGUAAUGGCUCACCAAGGCGACGAUCCGUAACUGGUCUGAGAGGAUGAUCAGUCACACUGGAACUGAGACACGGUCCAGACUCCUACGGGAGGCAGCAGUGGGGAAUAUUGGACAAUGGGCGAAAGCCUGAUCCAGCCAUGCCGCGUGUGUGAAGAAGGUCUUCGGAUUGUAAAGCACUUUAAGUUGGGAGGAAGGGCAGUAAGCGAAUACCUUGCUGUUUUGACGUUACCGACAGAAUAAGCACCGGCUAACUCUGUGCCAGCAGCCGCGGUAAUACAGAGGGUGCAAGCGUUAAUCGG